rnacentral:rRNA from 1 species
UGCUAGUCGCACGAGUUCAGACUCGUGGCGAACAGCUCAGUACCACGUGGCCAAACCACCCUUCAGCGGGCGACACCCUCGGGAAACUGAGGCUAAUCGCCCAUACGCGUCCCACCCUGGAAUGGGGGGACGACCAAACGCUCAGGCGCUGAAGGACGUGGCUGCGGCCGAUUAGGUAGACGGUGGGGUAACGGCCCACCGUGCCGAUAAUCGGUACGGGUCGUGAGAGCGAGAACCCGGAGACGGAAUCUGAGACAAGAUUCCGGGCCCUACGGGGCGCAGCAGGCGCGAAACCUUCACACUGCACGCGAGUGCGAUGAGGGGACUCCGAGUGCGAGGGCAUACAGUCCUCGCUUUUCACUACCGUAGGGAGGUAGUGGAACAAGAGCUGGGCAAGACCGGUGCCAGCCGCCGCGGUAAUACCGGCAGCUCGAGUGAUGGCCGAUUUUAUUGGGCCUAAAGCGUCCGUAGCCGGCCCUGCAAGUCCAUCGGGAAAUCCGCCAGCCCAACUGGCGGGCGUCCGGUGGAACCUGCAAGGCUUGGGACCGGAAGACCCGACGGGUACGUCCGGGGUAGGAGUGAAAUCCCGUAAUCCUGGACGGACCGCCGAUGGCGAAAGCAUGUCGGGAAGACGGCUCCGACGGUGAGGGACGAAAGCCAGGGUCUCCAACCGGAUUAGAUACCCGGGUAGUCCUGGCCGUAAACGAUGUCUGCUAGGUGUGGCUCCCGCUACG